UACGGAGGAUGCGAGCGUUAUCCGGAUUUAUUGGGUUUAAAGGGUGCGUAGGCGGGCUUUUAAGUCAGCUGUGAAAGUCCGCGGCUCAACCGUGGAAUUGCAGUUGAAACUGGAGGCCUUGAGUGCACACAGGGGUGCCGGAAUUCAUGGUGUAGCGGUGAAAUGCUUAGAUAUCAUGAAGAACUCCGAUCGCGAAGGCAGCUCACUAGACUGCAACUGACACUGAUGCUCGAAAGUGUGGGUAUCAAACAGG
rnacentral:rRNA from 1 species